GCCUACGGGGGGCAGCAGUGGGGAAUAUUGCACAAUGGGGGAAACCCUGAUGCAGCGACGCCGCGUGAGUGAAGAAGUAUUUCGGUAUGUAAAGCUCUAUCAGCAGGGAAGAAAAUGACGGUACCUGACUAAGAAGCCCCGGCUAACUACGUGCCAGCAGCCGCGGUAAUACGUAGGGGGCAAGCGUUAUCCGGAUUUACUGGGUGUAAAGGGAGCGUAGGCGGCCUGGCAAGCCUGAUGUGAAAUACCGGGGCUCAACCCCGGGGCUGCAUUGGGAACUGCCAGGCUGGAGUGCCGGAGAGGCG
rnacentral:rRNA from 1 species